GGGGGGGUGCGACGUAUCAGAUAGUUGGUGAGGUAAUGGCUCACCAAGUCAAUGACGCGUAGCUGUACUGAGAGGUAGAACAGCCACAAUGGGGACUGAGACACGGCCCAUACUCCUACGGGAGGCAGCAGUAGGGAAUUUUUUCACAAUGGGCGCAAGCCUUAUGAAGCAAUGCCGCGUGAAACGAUGAAGGUCUUAUAGAUUGUAAAGUUCUUUUAUAUGGGAAGAAACGCUAAGAUAGGAAAUGAUUUUAGUUUGACUGUACCAUUUGAAUAAGUAUCGGCUAACUAUGUGCCAGCAGCCGCGGUAAAU
rnacentral:rRNA from 1 species